rnacentral:rRNA from 1 species
UUUGGGAAGUAAAAAGUGUAACAAGGUUCCGUAGGUGAACCUGCGGAAGGAUCAUUACCGAGUGCGGGUCUUUAUGGCCCAACCUCCCACCCGUGACUAUGUACCUGUUGCUUCGGCGGGCCCGCCAGCGUUGCUGCCCCCCGGGGGGCGUCUUGCCCCCGGGCCCGUGCCCGCCGGAGACCCCCAACAUGGACCCUGUUUUGAAAGCUUGCAGUCUGAGUGUGAUUCUUUGCAAUCAGUUAAAACUUUCAACAAUGGAUCUCUUGGUUCCGGCAUCGGAUGAAGAACGCAGCGAAAUGCGAUAACUAAUGUGAAUUGCAGAAUUCAGUGAAUCAUCGAGUCUUUGAACGCACAUUGCGCCCCCUGGUAUUCCGGGGGGCAUGCCUGUCCGAGCGUCAUUGCUGCCCUCAAGCCCGGCUUGUGUGUUGGGCCCUCGUCCCCCGGCUCCCGGGGGACGGGCCCGAAAGGCAGCGGCGGCACCGCGUCCGGUCCUCGAGCGUAUGGGGCUUCGUCUUCCGCUCUGUAGGCCCGGCCGGCGCCCGCCGACGCAUUUUUUUGCAACUUGUUUUUUUUUCCAGGUUGACCUCGGAUCAGGACGACCAG